CAACCCUCAAGCUCUGCUUGGUAUUGGGCUCUGCCGGUCCUGGCAGGCCUCAAAGUCAGUGGCGGUGCCAUCCGGCUCCAAGCGUAGUAACUCUUCUCGCUUCGGGGCCGCGGUGCGUGCUGGCCAGCAACCCCCAAUUUUUUCA
rnacentral:misc_RNA from 1 species